UACGGAGGGUGCGAGCGUUGUCCGGAUUUAUUGGGUUUAAAGGGUGCGUAGGCGGCCGGCUAAGUCCGGGGUGAAAGCCCGUUGCUCAACAACGGAACUGCCCUGGAUACUGGCGGGCUUGAGUUCAGGCGAGGUUGGCGGAAUGGACGGAGUAGCGGUGAAAUGCAUAGAUACCGCACAGAACCCCGAUUGCGCAGGCAGCUGACUAGGCUGGUACUGACGCUGAGGCACGACAGCGUGGGGAGCGAACAGG
rnacentral:rRNA from 1 species